rnacentral:sRNA from 1 species
UUAUUUAUCGAAGAUCCAAGUCCAGCCAUUUCUAUACUGGUCCUGUCACCACGCUGCUGGCCGGUCUCCCCACUCUGCUACCUGCACCAUCCCAGAAAGUGCCUUCCCACAGAAUUCUGUGAUGCCCUUGGCCGUUUCUCCAGUUUCUACAGCCACAGUCAGAACCAUCCAGUCCUGGACAUGGGACCACAUCGGCGACUGCAGUGGACGUGGCUGGGCCGGGCUGAGCUGCAGUUUGGGAACCAGACACUGCAUGUGUCUACCGUGCAGAUGUGGCUGCUGCUGAAAUUCAAUCAGACAGAGGAGGUGUCAGUAGAGACCUUGCUGAAGGAUUCUGACCUCUCCCCAGAGCUGCUGCUCCAGGCACUUGUGCCCCUCACCUCGGGGAAUGGCCCUUUGACCCUGCAUGAGGGCCAGGACUUUCCACACAGGGGUAGGUCACUGGGGGCCGGGCUGAGCCUCUGCUGCUGGUCAGGGGGUUGCCCUCAAGAUGGGGGGACUGUGAGAAUGGGGUCAUCUUAGUCCCCAUUCAUCUGUCCCUCUGCCUCCUCCGGUACCUGACUGGGAGCGG